GGCGCAUUCGUCUAGUGGCCUAGGACGCCGCCCUCUCACGGCGGAAACCCGGGUUCGAGUCCCGGACGCGCUA
rnacentral:tRNA from 1 species